UACGUAGGGGGCAAGCGUUGUCCGGAAUCAUUGGGCGUAAAGAGCGUGUAGGCGGUCCGGUAAGUCAGCUGUGAAAGUCAAGGGCUCAACCCUUGAAUGCCGGUUGAUACUGUCGGGCUAGAGUCCGGAAGAGGCGAGUGGAAUUCCCGGUGUAGCGGUGAACUGCGCAGAUAUCAGGAGGAACACCGGUGGCGAAGGCGGGUCUCUGGGCCGAUACUGACGCUGAGGAGCGAAAGCGUGGGGAGCGAACAGG
rnacentral:rRNA from 1 species